CGAAUGCUGACAUAAGUAACGAUAAAGCGGGUGAAAAGCCCGCUCGCCGGAAGACCAAGGGUUCCUGUCCAACGUUAAUCGGGGCAGGGUGAGUCGACCCCUAAGGCGAGGCCGAAAGGCGUAGUCGAUGGGAAACAGGUUAAUAUUCCUGUACUUGGUGUUACUGCGAAGGGGGGACGGAGAAGGCUAUGUUGGCCGGGCGACGGUUGUCCCGGUUUAAGCGUGUAGGCUGAUUUUCCAGGCAAAUCCGGAAAAUCAAGGCUGAGGCGUGAUGACGAGGCACUACGGUGCUGAAGCAACAAAUGCCCUGCUUCCAGGAAAAGCCUCUAAGCAUCAGGUAACAUCAAAUCGUACCCCAAACCGACACAGGUGGUCAGGUAGAGAAUACCAAGGCGCUUGAGAGAACUCGGGUGAAGGAACUAGGCAAAAUGGUGCCGUAACUUCGGGAGAAGGCACGCUGAUAUGUAGGUGAAGCGACUUGCUCGUGGAGCUGAAAUCAGUCGAAGAUACCAGCUGGCUGCAACUGUUUAUUAAAAACACAGCACUGUGCAAACACGAAAGUGGACGUAUACGGUGUGACGCCUGCCCGGUGCCGGAAGGUUAAUUGAUGGGGUUAGCGGUAACGCGAAGCUCUUGAUCGAAGCCCCGGUAAACGGCGGCCGUAACUAUAACGGUCCUAAGGUAGCGAAAUUCCUUGUCGGGUAAGUUCCGACCUGCACGAAUGGCGUAAUGAUGGCCAGGCUGUCUCCACCCGAGACUCAGUGAAAUUGAACUCGCUGUGAAGAUGCAGUGUACCCGCGGCAAGACGGAAAGACCCCGUGAACCUUUACUAUAGCUUGACACUGAACAUUGAGCCUUGAUGUGUAGGAUAGGUGGGAGGCUUUGAAGUGUGGACGCCAGUCUGCAUGGAGCCGGCCUUGAAAUACCACCCUUUAAUGUUUGAUGUUCUAACGUUGGCCCCUGAUCGGGGUUGCGGACAGUGUCUGGUGGGUAGUUUGACUGGGGCGGUCUCCUCCUAAAGAGUAACGGAGGAGCACGAAGGUUGGCUAAUCCUGGUCGGACAUCAGGAGGUUAGUGCAAUGGCAUAAGCCAGCUUGACUGCGAGCGUGACGGCGCGAGCAGGUGCGAAAGCAGGUCAUAGUGAUCCGGUGGUUCUGAAUGGAAGGGCCAUCGCUCAACGGAUAAAAGGUACUCCGGGGAUAACAGGCUGAUACCGCCCAAGAGUUCAUAUCGACGGCGGUGUUUGGCACCUCGAUGUCGGCUCAUCACAUCCUGGGGCUGAAGUAGGUCCCAAGGGUAUGGCUGUUCGCCAUUUAAAGUGGUACGCGAGCUGGGUUUAGAACGUCGUGAGACAGUUCGGUCCCUAUCUGCCGUGGGCGCUGGAGAACUGAGGGGGGCUGCUCCUAGUACGAGAGGACCGGAGUGGACGCAUCACUGGUGUUCGGGUUGUCAUGCCAAUGGCACUGCCCGGUAGCUAAAUGCGGAAGAGAUAAGUGCUGAAAGCAUCUAAGCACGAAACUUGCCCCGAGAUGAGUUCUCCCUGAGACUUAGAGUCUCCUGAAGGAACGUUGAAGACGACGACGUUGAUAGGCCGGGUGUGUAAGCGCAGCGAUGCGUUGAGCUAACCGGUACUAAUGAACCGUGAGGCUUAACCUUACAACGCCGAAG
rnacentral:rRNA from 1 species